rnacentral:lncRNA from 1 species
CUUUCAGAAAGAGAUACAUUAUAACUGGCCAAAAUGCAGAAAAGGAAUGCUCAGGCUAUGAGCACUGCUCAGUGGGAUAUCUGUAUGGAUACUCACCCGCCCCCACCCCAAGGCUGGGGAACAGCCUGAAGAGAGGGAGGCAGGGUGAUGCAAAGGCAUCCUGGUCGUGACAUGGUCAUGGCACUCGGGAACUCCCUGCAGCUAUAAGAGUAAGCCAACAAGGCAGAAAAGGAUCCAGAACAGGGUGAGCUGUGAGAUGCAGGGACCAAAGCCAUCUAGAGGGAAGGACCACCUGUGGCCUCCGGAGGAGAGGGGGGCGGGGCGAGAAAAGAAAAACAAACCAGCCAGUCAGAGCGACCUGGAGGCCAACUGGAACCGGGCUAGCAACUCAAACCUUCUGCACCAAAUGCCGGAACAAUGGCCCCUAUUUAUGCACAGCUCCAAAGGCUCCUUGCAUCAGAAGGCACCUUCGAGAAUAAACCGGCAGCUAAUUCUCCUGGUAGCAGAAAUCCACUCUCACGG